CCACUAUGCUUAGCCCUUAACAUAGACAAUAAAAACACAAUAUUGUCCGCCAGAGAACUACAAGUGAAAAACUAGAAACUCCAAGGACUUGGCGGUGCCCCACAUCAACCUAGAGGAGCCUGUCCUAUAAUCGAUAAUCCACGCUGCACCUUACCAUUUCUAGNCAACUCAGCCUAUAUACCGCCGUCGGAAGCCUACCUUAUGAAAGAAUCAAAGUAAGCAAAAUAGUCAACAACUAAAACGUCAGGUCAAGGUGUAGCACAUGAAAUGGAAGAGAUGGGCUACAUUUUCUAUCUUAGAAAACACGAACAGCACAAUGAAACCUGUACUCAAAGGCGGAUUUAGCAGUAAGACAAAAAAGAAACUUUGCCUUAAACGCGCUCUGGGGCGCGCACACACCGCCCG
rnacentral:rRNA from 1 species